rnacentral:rRNA from 1 species
AAACUAACAAGGAUUCCCCUAGUAACGGCGAGUGAACCGGGAAGAGCUCAAAUUUGAAAUCUGGCGUCCUCAGGGCGUCCGAGUUGUAAUCUAUAGAGGCGUUUUCCGUGCCGGACCGUGUCCAAGUUCCUUGGAACAGGAUAUCAAAGAGGGUGACAAUCCCGUACUUGACACGAUGACCGGUGCUCUGUGAUACGUCUUCUACGAGUCGAGUUGUUUGGGAAUGCAGCUCAAAAUGGGUGGUGAGUUCCAUCUAAAGCUAAAUAUUGGCGAGAGACCGAUAGCGAACAAGUACCGUGAGGGAAAGAUGAAAAGCACUUUGGAAAGAGAGUUAAACAGUACGUGAAAUUGUUGAAAGGGAAACGAUUGAAGUCAGUCGUGACUGAGAGGCUCAGCCGGUUCUGCCGGUGUAUUCCCCUCAGUCGGGUCAACAUCAGUUUUGUCCGGUGGAAAAGGGCGGUAGGAACGUGGCACCUCCGGGUGUGUUAUAGCCUGCCGUCGCAUACAUCGGGUGAGACUGAGGAAUGCAGCUCGCCUUUAUGGCCGGGGUUCGCCC